GAUAAACUUUGCUGUGUUACACGCUUUGAAGAUCAUUCUUGAGCAAGAGCAGCAUAAUGAAUUAGCAGGUACACAGCGAAUCUGCAAGUGAGCAGAAACCUGAAGGAAGCAAGAAAGAAAACCAUGAAUAUACUUUGGGAAGAGUGUUCCAGGCAAAGAGAAGAGCAAGUGUAAAGCCUGGCCAGUCUCCAUCCUGCCCCCUGAAGCAUAUAGUCUAAUUUUUUUCUACCGUGGAUUAAUUUCACCUGUUCUAGAACUUCAUCUGAAUGGAAUCAUAGAGUGAGCAUGCAUUCUUUUGAGAGUCUAUCCAAGUAAUUUGCCAGAUUAUAUUAUUAGUUUGUAGGAUGUCUUUAUAUAUUCUGCAUACAAGAAGGUAAGGACUUUCAAUUUUAUUGCUUUUUUAAUGUGAAGGGAAGCCACCGGAAGGUUUUGAGCACGGAAUAAUACAAAACCAGGGGAAUCGUUAUACGAUUUUGCAUUGCACAACUUCAGGG